AAGAAAGAUACGAUAAAGCAGCAAAGCAUAAGAUGUUCCUUUUCUUUUUUUCUUUUUCUUUUUCUUUUC
rnacentral:ribozyme from 16 species